rfam:Beta vulgaris subsp. vulgaris Bvchr4.sca013.con0083.1, whole genome shotgun sequence.
AAAUUGUGGUGUGGGCAUUCUCUCUACAUAUCCUUGAACCUAUUUCAUGCUUCCUUCAGUGUUUCAUCGGGUUCUUGUUGGAAGGUAGCAAGCUUAUGUCUUAUAUCU